rnacentral:SRP_RNA from 1 species
AGGGAGUUGAGUUUGGACAAUAGCUUCGCCAAUCCGGUCAGAUCUGAAAAGAAGCAGCCGUAACGAUUGUUGUUGGGUCAAUCCUCAGCUCCUUNUG